AUCCAGCUGACGAGUGCCAAAUAGGACGAAACGCGCGUCCUGGAU
rfam:Schistosoma mattheei strain Denwood, Zambia genome assembly, scaffold: SMTD_scaffold0019540